UUCAGAGAUUGAGGUGGCGGUUGCCUGG
rnacentral:piRNA from 1 species